CAAUAUGCCUAAAAUGGUUAGUUUUUAUAAGCGUUCGACAUUUACGAACUAACCGCACACGACGAUGUAUCUUUUUGAGAAGAACGUGGCGCUUAUGGCCAAAUAGAAAUUGCUUUCAAGAUUGCUGCCACUCAAUUUCUCGACUGGUAACUCCGUUAAACCAAGCUCCACGCCUUAGCACAGAGUAAACGGUAAAGGCGAUGAAAACCCCCAACACGGCAAAUAGAACUUCAAAGACAGCCUUGAACUUUUCCCGCUCGUCCGUCACCUUUCUGUACAAGACUUUGAAGCCGCGAACGACAUGAUUGAUUCCUCAAAUUUAAUAUGACCAACACCAUCUGAGAGCUGUAGUAGGGGUUGUCUCUCUACAUUGUCUGCUGAUAUUAUUAUUU